CCAUAUUUCAGGAAUUGUUCCCGGUAGUUCACGGUAUUAAGGGCGUGACAGUCAGUAAACGGUGUUGGAUGUGGGUUUUGAGUCUCCCUGCAACGUACAAUACUACACUUGUCAACCAGAACAGUAAGGAGAAGCAAGACAUGACAUGAUUGAUGACUGAUGUCAACUGCUUUUGAACAAACUAGCAACAAUUUGGACAUCAGCACUACAGUGAUCAACGUGCUAAUGAUCAUAGGAAGAGCAGUGUGGCCAAUAAAGGAAUGGCAAUAACAAAGAAUGGGCUGAG
rnacentral:lncRNA from 13 species